rnacentral:rRNA from 1 species
GACGAACGCUGGCGGCGUGCUUAAUACAUGCAAGUCGAACGGAAAGGCCAUGAUUUUGUGGGGUGCUCGAGUGGCGAACGGGUGAGUAACACGCGAGUAACCUGUCCUUGACUUUGGGAUAUAUUCUGGAAACUGGGGCUCAUACCGGAUAGGAGCUUCUGCUGCAUGGUGGGGGUUGGAAAGUUUCGGCGGUUGGGGAUGGACUGGCGGCUUAUCGGCUUGAUGGUGGGGUAGUGGCUUACCAGGGUUUUGACGGGUAGCCGGCCUGGGAGGGUGACCGGCGACAUUGGGACUGAGAUACGGCCCAGAAGCCUACGUGAGGCAGCAGUGGGAAAUAUUGCAGAGUGGGCGGAAGCCAGAUGCAGCAACGCCGCGUGCGGGAUGACGGCCUUCGGGUGGUAAACCGCUGUCUCAGGUGACGAAGCGUUAGUGACGGUAAUGGGUAAAGAAGCACCGGCUAACUACGUG